AGCGUUUGACAUGGUAGGACGGCUUCCAGAGAUGGAUUCCUUCCCUUACGGGACCUACACACAGGUGCUGCAUGGCUGUCGUCAGCUCGUGUCGUGAGAUGUUGGGUUAAGUCCCGCAACGAGCGCAACCCUCGCCUUUAGUUGCCAUCAUUUAGUUGGGCACUCUAGAGGAACUGCCGGUGAUAAGCCGGAGGAAGGUGGGGAUGACGUCAAGUCCUCAUGGCCCUUACACGCUGGGCUACACACGUGCUACAAUGGCGGUGACAGUGGGCAGCAAACUCGCGAGAGUGAGCAAAUCCCCAAAAACCGUCUCAGUUCGGAUUGUUCUCUGCAACUCGAGAGCAUGAAGGCGGAAUCGCUAGUAAUCGCGGAUCAGCAUGCCGCGGUGAAUACGUUCCCAGGCC
rnacentral:rRNA from 1 species